CUUUUCUCUCCAUCUCUCUUCCAUCGACAAAUCUCUCUUCCAUCUUCUAUUUUCAGAUUUCAUCUCCUCUGUCUUUAUCCUUAAUCAUCUCACACACACCUCUCUCUCUCUCUCUCUCUCUCUCUCUCUCUUUACUCUCCUAACCUCACUCACGAACACGAUUCAUGUCACACAGACAUGUUUCUGUGUCUCAGUCUUGUAAUCUUUCUCUCACAUACAACACAUCUCAAAAAAGCAGAUUCUUCAAACCACGGCUGGAGGAGGAGGACGACGACGACCGCUGUUGUGGCGUCAACAGUGGUGGUCUCCGCGUCGACAAUGGUGGCUGAGAGCAGUGGAGGAGACUGAAGAGGCUUUACUGUGGUGGUCGUGGCUGGUGGUCGUGGCUGGUGGUCUCAGCGUCAACAAGGAGUGCGGCGGAGAUUGAAGAAGAACAUGGUUUAGUUAGGUUUAGUUAGGUUUUGUUAGGGUUAGUUAAUAAACCGGGUUUGUAUGUAAACUGGUUUUUGUAAUAAACCGAUAUCAUCUGUAAACCAAAAUUUUAAUAAUAAAUAACUUUAUUCUCAAACCAAUUA